ACAGGACAUCUCGUCUUGUUCUUCCUCUCGUCUCGCUCGCACAGUCGCGCACGGAGGCGGCGCCGAACGCGAACCCUAGCUGGCAGCUGGGUGUUGGCGGCGCGCUGCCCGCCUCUCACCUCCCCAACGGCCCGACGAGGCGACGACGCCCCCUCCCCCCGCUCCAUCUCCUCCACGGCUCCACGUCCGAGAUCCACGGCUGCGCUCCACGGUGAGCUCCAGCUCGCGACCCGGACGGCCGGACGUAACGGGCGAGUCCCCUUCAAGUUCCAGCAAUGGUUCACUUUGAUGCUGAUUCUAGUGGUAGCCAUGAAGCAAACUGGAUGAACUUGAAGCCCUUGGUUUAUUUUGUUGUUGAAUUGUGAACUACCGAACUGUAAUGGCCUAAUGACAUGUUAAUGUUAUGUUAGUAUGUUACCAUUAGCUGAACUAUUUCAUCAUGCUAGUUAUUCCGGACAUGUGAGAUGUUCCCUCCUGUUAAUCAGUUAUGUUAUUAUGUCAGGAUUAUCUGACUUGACAUAAUAUAUUGUCCUAUGAUUUUGUGACUGUAUGCUUU